rnacentral:rRNA from 1 species
GGGGGACCUUCGGGCCUCUUGCCAUCGGAUGUGCCCAGAUGGGAUUAGCUUGUAGGUGGGGUAACGGCUCACCUAGGCGACGAUCCCUAGCUGGUCUGAGAGGAUGACCAGCCACACUGGAACUGAGACACGGUCCAGACUCCUACGGGAGGCAGCAGUGGGGAAUAUUGCACAAUGGGCGCAAGCCUGAUGCAGCCAUGCCGCGUGUAUGAAGAAGGCCUUCGGGUUGUAAAGUACUUUCAGCGGGGAGGAAGGGAGUAAAGUUAAUACCUUUGCUCAUUGACGUUACCCGCAGAAGAAGCACCGGCUAACUCCGUGCCAGCAGCCGCGGUAAUACGGAGGGUGCAAGCGUUAAUCGGAAUUACUGGGCGUAAAGCGCACGCAGGCGGUUUGUUAA